rnacentral:misc_RNA from 1 species
UGGUUCUGGCAUCGAUGAAGAACGCAGCGAAAUGCGAUAAGUAAUGCGAAUUGCAGAAUCCGUGAGUCAUCGAAUCUUUGAACGCAUAUUGCGCCCCCUGGUAUUCCGGGGGGCAUGCCUGUUCGAGCGUCAUUAUCACCCCUCAAGCCCGGCUUGUUGUUGGACGUCGGUGGUCGCCUCGCGCCCCGCCCGUCUCAAAGAUAAUGACGGCGUCUGUGAGGACUCCUGUACAUUGAGCUUUCGGGCACGUACUAGGUCAGCUCUCCAGACCCGGUCUUUAAGUUGCUUCGGCGACGAACUUUUCUAAGGUUGACCUCGGAUCAGGUAGGAAUACCCGCUGA